AUUGAACGCUGGCGGCAGGCCUAACACAUGCAAGUCGAACGGUAGCACAGAAAGCUUGCUCUCGGGUGACGAGUGGCGGACGGGUGAGUAACGUCUGGGAAACUGCCCGAUGGAGGGGGAUAACUACUGGAAACGGUAGCUCAUACCGCAUAACGUCGCAAGACCAAAGUGGGGGACCUUCGGGCCUCGCAUCAUCGGAUGUGCCCAGAUGGGAUUAGCUAGUAGGUGGGGUAAUGGCUCACCUAGGCGACGAUCCCUAGCUGGUCUGAGAGGAUGACCAGCCACACUGGAACUGAGACACGGUCCAGACUCCUACGGGAGGCAGCAGUGGGGAAUAUUGCACAAUGGGCGCAAGCCUGAUGCAGCCAUGCCGCGUGUAUGAAGAAGGCCUUCGGGUUGUAAAGUACUUUCAGCGGGGAGGAAGGCGGUGAAGUUAAUAACUUCACCGAUUGACGUUACCCGCAGAAGAAGCACCGGCUAACUCCGUGCCAGCCGCCGCGGUAAAAC
rnacentral:rRNA from 1 species